rnacentral:rRNA from 1 species
GAUGAACGCUGGCGGCGUGCCUAAUACAUGCAAGUCGAGCGAACGGACGAGAAGCUUGCUUCUCUGAUGUUAGCGGCGGACGGGAGAGUAACACGUGGAUAACCUACCUAUAAGACUGGGAUAACUUCGGGAAACCGGAGCUAAUACCGGAUGAUAUUUUGAACCGCAUGGUUCAAAAGUGAAAGACGGUCUUGCUGUCACUUAUAGAUGGAUCCGCGCUGCAUUAGCUAGUUGGUAAGGUAACGGCUUACCAAGGCAACGAUGCAUAGCCGACCUGAGAGGGUGAUCGGCCACACUGGAACUGAGACACGGUCCAGACUCCUACGGGAGGCAGCAGUAGGGAAUCUUCCGCAAUGGGCGAAAGCCUGACGGAGCAACGCCGCGUGAGUGAUGAAGGUCUUCGGAUCGUAAAACUCUGUUAUUAGGGAAGAACAUAUGUGUAAGUAACUGUGCACAUCUUGACGGUACCUAAUCAGAAAGCCACGGCUAACUACGUG